rnacentral:lncRNA from 1 species
UUUCUCUCUAUUUCUCUCUCCCCUCCCUCCUGUACUCUCUCUAUCCCUCCUCCUCCUUCUUGCUCAACAGACGGCGAUGCCGGAGGAAGGGAGCAAGCGAGCCAUGCUUCUUCUCCACCGCCUUCAUCAAUACAUGGAGAUUGUUGAGGCUCAGAGACUGGAAUUGGUUUUCCGGCGCCUAGGGUUCCGCUGCUUAGCCAGACGACGACGACGCUGAUUUGGGUUGUGGCGUCUGCUACUUCUGGACCUCUGGUGAUCCUAUCAGGCUUAAUUGCAGUUGUUCAUUGAUUCAGGGGGUUGUUUGGGUUAGCUUAUUUUAGAGGAUUUUGUGUGUGUGAGAAGUCAUUUUUGAGAAGUCAGAAUUCACUUAUGACUUAUAUAACUUAAUAAGUCAUUUUGAGAAGGAAUGCCAAACACCCACUCAAUCGUCUGCAAAUAUGCUUGAAUUGUUGGAUUGGAAAGAGAAAAUAUCAGUUAUUAAUGUCAAGAUCAGAUAAGGUGUGUUGGACUUGCAGAUUGAGAUAGGGUUUUGUAAUUAAUUAUUCGGUUAUAGUGAACCUGGAGCUGCUGGUGUAAAAAUUAACUCACCGACAUAGUGGUUGUAAUAGGCGGCUAAGGAGUGACUUAAGUGUCUCUACCACCGCCGGCAAUGGUUCGUGUAGGAGAUUUUGGAUUUUUGAAGUUAACUGUGGGGUAAUAUUUUCAGAGAUGUGGCGGUGAAGAUUGUUGUUAGUAUAGAGAGAGAGAGAGAGGGGGAGUUACAGAGGUUGGGCGCCUGGGCGGCAGACGAGGUGGUGGUGGCGGCAGAUGAGGUGGUGGAAAGAUGUGGUGGUUAGAAAAUUGGAGAAGAUAAGAUCUAUAUGUAUUUUUUUUUGUUUUGUUUUUUUUUUAAACAUUUAAAUAAAAGCAUGAAUUUAC